GACGAACGCUGGCGGCGUGCCUAAUACAUGCAAGUAGAACGCUGAAGAGAGGAGCUUGCUCUUCUUGGAUGAGUUGCGAACGGGUGAGUAACGCGUAGGUAACCUGCCUUGUAGCGGGGGAUAACUAUUGGAAACGAUAGCUAAUACCGCAUAACAAUGGAUGACACAUGUCAUUUAUUUGAAAGGGGCAACUGCUCCACUACAAGAUGGACCUGCGUUGUAUUAGCUAGUAGGUGAGGUAACGGCUCACCUAGGCGACGAUACAUAGCCAACCUGAGAGGGUGAUCGGCCACACUGGGACUGGGACACGGCCCAGACUCCUACGGGAGGCAGCAGUAGGGAAUCUUCGGCAAUGGGGGCAACCCUGACCGAGCAACGCCGCGUGAGUGAAGAAGGUUUUCGGAUCGUAAAGCUCUGUUGUAAGUCAAGAACGAGUGUGAGAGUGGAAAGUUCACACUGUGACGGUAGCUUACCAGAAAGGGACGGCUAACUACGUGCCAGCCGCCGCCGUAAGAC
rnacentral:rRNA from 1 species